UGGGGAAUUUUGGACAAUGGGCGCAAGCCUGAUCCAGCCAUGCCGCGUGCAGGAUGAAGGCCCUCGGGUUGUAAACUGCUUUUGUACGGAACGAAAAGCCUCUUUCUAAUAAAGAGGGGUGAUGACGGUACCGUAAGAAUAAGCACCGGCUAACUACGUGCCAGCAGCCGCGGUAAUACGUAGGGUGCGAGCGUUAAUCGGAAUUACUGGGCGUAAAGCGUGCGCAGGCGGUCUUGCAAGACAGUGGUGAAAUCCCCGGGCUCAACCUGGGAACUGCCAUUGUGACUGCAAGGCUGGAGUACGGCAGAGGAGGAUGGAAUUCCGCGUGUAGCAGUGAAAUGCGUAGAGAUGUGGAGGAACACCGAUGGCGAAGGCAGCCCCCUGGGCCUGUACUGACGCUCAUGCACGAAAGCGUGGGGAGCAAAC
rnacentral:rRNA from 1 species